rnacentral:lncRNA from 1 species
UGUGACUCUCUAGAACAUGGCAACCAUGUAAUCUUCCUAUCUGGAGCAGCACCGACCCAUUUUCCUGAUGAGAAACUGUGUUUAGGAUGUGACUCUCUAGAACAUGGCAACCAUGUAAUCUUCCUAUCUGGAGCAGCACCGACCCAUUUUCCUGAUGAGAAACUGUGUUUAGCAUGUGGCUCUCUAGAACUUGGCAACCAUGUAAUCUUCCUAUCUGGAGCAGCACCGAACAAUUUUCCUGAAGAGAAACUGUGUUUAGCAUGUGGCUCUCUAGAACUUGGCAACCAUGUAAUCUUCCUAUCUGGAGCAGCACAGACCCGUUUUCCUGAUGAGAAACUGUGUUUAGGAUGUGGCUCUCUAGAACUUGGCAACCAUGUAAUCUUCCAAUCUGGAGCAGCACCGACCCAUUUUCCUGAUGAGAAACUGUGUUUAGCAUGUGGCUCUCUAGAACUUGGCAACCAUGUAAUCUUCCUAUCUGGAGCAGCACAGACCCGUUUUCCUGAUGAGAAACUGUGGUGAGUAUCAUUUAUAUCGCGAACAACAG